GACAGAGGUCUCGAGCGUUAGGCGGAAUCACUGGGCUUAAAGCGUGUGUAGGCGGAUGUCUAAGUACCUUGUGAAAUCCCACGGCUUAACCGUGGAAUUGCUUGGUAUACUGGAUGUCUUGAGCCAGCUAGAGGCAACCGGAACAAAUGGUGGAGCGGUGAAAUGCGUAGAUAUCAUUUGGAACGCCAAUGGUGAAAACAGGUUGCUGGGGCUGUGCUGACGCUGAGACACGAAAGCCAGGGGAGCAAACGGG
rnacentral:rRNA from 1 species